AACCUUCCCCCCCACCCCCGCCCACUGGAGCUGAUGCUCCAAGUGCCCCAUUUUGUGCUGCGCAAGUAGCCGCCACCGUUCGCCCCAAAGCCAAAUGGCGGUUCCAUGGUGGAGCUGGUGGAGCGAAUGUCAGGCUGCGACCCCCGAAGGAGUUCUUGGACAGGGUGGGGGAGGGGAGGUGCUGCGGCCACACCCCUACCCCUGUCGUGCGGGAAGGGCGAUGGAGAGCGGGUCCCGGAGACUGCUCUCCUAGCGUUCUCUCUCCUGGUACCAGGCGAAAUCCUCCGCGGGGGCUUGUGCAAGUCUGGCGGCUCUGAGCUGGGCGGGGUGCAGCAGAACUGGUGCCGAGGAGGUGCCGAACAGUCUUUCUCGAAGCCAGAGAAGCCUCUACUUGGGGAAGCUGACACCAUGGGGAGACACCCCGGGAGGAGAGCUGAUCCCUUUGGAGUUCCUCUCCAAGCCCCCGAGGUCUCCACCCUUCCCCUCUGGGCUCUUCAGGCCUCUCCACGCAGCAGCAGAUGGAGCGGCUAACACAGAAGUCUGAUCUCCUGCAUCCCCCCACCUCUGCCGAAAGGCCUCGGGCGGCUUCUCAUCAGACUUAGGAUGAGUCUGCAGUCAGCUGCACUGGCUUUUUUGUUCCUCACACAGACCGGGGGCGGGGUCCCACCUCAGGGCCUUUGCACUUGCUGUGUGGCUGACAGCAGUUACUCCCAUCUCAAUCCUUGAAAGCCUCUUCAGGGUAGCCGCCUAGGCAGCCUGGCUGAAUACCGCUCGAGAAUUCCUGUAUCACAUCACCCUGCUUGAUUUUCUUCAUAUCACUUAUCAUUAUCUGACCCUGUGUCAUCUAUUUACGUGUGUACUGGGCGCUCUGUAAGAACUGAGUUGGGUCUGCCUUGCUCCCCACUGGAGCCCAGCCCUGGGCACACCCCCUGCCUGGUUGCCGCCCCUGCUCACUGCCGCCUAAAGACAGUACAGCUUUGCCUGCAGCUGCCGCACCAGGAACGGGGGCUGGGAGUCAGGAGUUCCUGGCUGGGCUUGGACCCUGGCACUCCCACAAACUUCAUGUGUGACCCACAGCUCCCCCCACACUUCUCUACCCUCAGCUCCCCAGUUUGUGAAAAGGGGUGGGAUGUGUGCAGUGCCCCACAGCUUUGGCAGCCUGAGUCUGGACUUCUGAACAGAGAUGCCCUCGAGAGAAGGGAGGACCCGCAAGAAUACAGCCUUCCUGGAGGGUGAGACACAAAACAGAGACCCUGGUGUCAGGCAGAGUGUGGCAAGUCUGGGUCUAGGAUGCGGAACCCUGGGCUCUGGGAGGGCUCCUGUGCUUCUGUCAGCCCCAGUGUUAUCCUCUGUAAAAGGGGUAUCCGCCCUGGAGCUCAAGCGGAGACACCUCCACCUGGGAGGGUUUCAGACGGCCUGGGUGGGAGUCACCAACUCAGGGACCGGAUUCAGAGGCCCUGUGGCCUGAGGGCCCCUCCCCAGGGAAGGCCCCGUUGGCUGUUACCUGCUGAGGUUACAGUUGAGGGCCAAAGCGGGUCUCCCCAAAAUGUGUUUUAAACCGAGAUGUUAGCUUCAUCCUAGGCCUGGACUGGGAGCGAGGGUGGCAGGGCCCAGUUUGGGAUUUAAAAUGUAAAAAAAUUAAAAAUUAAAAAAUAAAUAAAUAAAAU